rfam:Synechococcus phage S-CAM3 isolate 1010CC42, complete genome.
CGGGGCGUAGUAUAGUGGUAGAAUGCCGCGUUUGGGACGCGGAGGUGCAAGUUCGAUCCCUCUCACCCCGA